rnacentral:lncRNA from 10 species
CGGAGACAGCGCUCGCCGCCCGGGCCGAGCCCAAUAGGAAGCACCUGAUCCACACUCUUUCUAGCCCCAGGGAUGCUCAGGAAAGCAGCCUUUCUUUAGGGCUGUCAUCUGUUCUGGGGAUCUGUUGCUGUUUCUUGGGCCCACAGAAUACACUCCACACCUCGGGACUCCAUAAUAUUGGACAAGGCUGGAAGGCCCAUUUGGCUCCUGCAGCCUCUUAUGCAGGAGGACCUCCUGAGGCUUCGGGCAGGAGCUGGUGCACACCUGGAGGAGAGUGCUGGUGAAUGGCAGGUGUGUGCCUCAGUGUCCUUGCUGCCAGGGUGUCAGCCCUGCUUCACCACUGGCCGUUUGUCUCUGUCCCCUCCACUGGCCUCUUGAAGCACAGAGACCCUCCGGGUACUUUCCUUCCUCUGGGCUUCCACUCAUGCUAUUCCCUGCUCCCUUUUUCUACCUGGAGACCCCCAUUCCUCCUCCUCCUCUGCUGCCCUCACCUCCACCUGGGCCCUCCCAGCUCCCGGGAGAUGGCUGAACCCCACUCCCCACCCGCUAGUCAUCCUCUUCAGCGGUCCUCCCAGAGCUGUCCUCAGCAUGGCAGCCUCCACAGCCCCUGGGUGUCACCCCCGGUUUCGUGUCUGCCUCGGACUCCAGACCUGCCCCUCCCAGGCUGGCCCAGAUGGAUCCUCUACAGUGACUAACCCAAACCAGCACCAGGCAGGGACCCAAUAAACCUUUGUGAAUGGA